rnacentral:rRNA from 1 species
UGCCAGCAGCCGCGGUAAUACAUAGGGGUCAAGCGUUGUCCGGAUUUAUUGGGCGUAAAGAGCUCGUAGGCGGACGUAUAAGUCAGUGGUGAAAUCCUGCAGCUUAACUGCAGAACUGCCAUUGAUACUGUACGUCUUGAAUUCGGUCGAAGUGGGCGGAAUGUGUAGUGUAGCGGUGAAAUGCAUAGAUAUUACACAGAACACCGAUAGCGAAGGCAGCUCACUAGGCCUGGAUUGACGCUCAGGGACGAAAGCGUGGGGAUCAAACAGGAUUAGAUA